rnacentral:rRNA from 1 species
UACGAAGGGGACUAGCGUUGUUCGGAAUUACUGGGCGUAAAGCGCACGUAGGCGGAUUUGUAAGUCAGGGGUGAAAUCCCGGGGCUCAACCUCGGAGCUGCCUUUGAUACUGCAAAUCUCGAGUCCGAUAGAGGUGGGUGGAAUUCCUAGUGUAGAGGUGAAAUUCGUAGAUAUUAGGAAGAACACCGGUGGCGAAGGCGGCCCACUGGCCCGAUACUGACGCUGAGGUGCGAAAGCGUGGGGAGCGAACAGG